UGGGGAAUUUUGGACAAUGGGCGAAAGCCUGAUCCAGCAAUGCCGCGUGUGUGAAGAAGGCCUUCGGGUUGUAAAGCACUUUUGUCCGGAAAGAAAUCCUUGGCUCUAAUACAGUCGGGGGAUGACGGUACCGGAAGAAUAAGCACCGGCUAACUACGUGCCAGCAGCCGCGGUAAUACGUAGGGUGCAAGCGUUAAUCGGAAUUACUGGGCGUAAAGCGUGCGCAGGCGGUUUGCUAAGACCGAUGUGAAAUCCCCGGGCUCAACCUGGGAACUGCAUUGGUGACUGGCAGGCUAGAGUAUGGCAGAGGGGGGUAGAAUUCCACGUGUAGCAGUGAAAUGCGUAGAGAUGUGGAGAAUACCGAUGGCGAAGGCAGCCCCUGGGCCAAUACUGACGCUCAUGCACGAAAGCGUGGGGAGCAAACAGGAUUAGAUACCCUGGUAGUCCGCGCCCUAAACGAUGUCAACUAGUUGUGGGGAUUCAUUUCCUUAGUAACGUAGCUAACGCGUGAAGUUGACCGCCUGGGGAGUACGGUCGCAAGAUUAAAACUUAAAGGAAUUGACGGGGUCAUAGCUGUUUCCU
rnacentral:rRNA from 1 species